GUGCUGUAAUAAAUAUUCACUUUCUUUCUGGCAUGCUGCAGAGCUAGUUUUAAACAUACCUGUAAUUUCACUGCCAUACAUUAAAAUGGGUUUUAUUGUAUGGUCAUAUAUAUGUAAUAGAGUAGAAAUACUUGGAUUGGAAGAUGAUAAAGAUCUUUGCAAUUUGAAUACAGCUUUUAGUGAUUUUUUGUAUAAUUCUUCCUUUCCUUGCUUAAAAAGUCCACUAGAUAUAAAUUUUAAACCUAAAUACUUAUAAUUGUUAACACAUUCUAUUGUAUCUUUUUCGAAUAAAAAUAUUCUUUUAAAA
rnacentral:lncRNA from 1 species